AGUGAACGCUGGCGGUAGGCCUAACACAUGCAAGUCGAACGGCAGCACAGUAAGAGCUUGCUCUUACGGGUGGCGAGUGGCGGACGGGUGAGGAAUACAUCGGAAUCUACUUUUUCGUGGGGGAUAACGUAGGGAAACUUACGCUAAUACCGCAUACGACCUACGGGUGAACGCAGGGGAUCUUCGGACCUUGCGCGAUUGAAUGAGCCGAUGUCGGAUUAGCUAGUUGGCGGGGUAAAGGCCCACCAAGGCGACGAUCCGUAGCUGGUCUGAGAGGAUGAGCAGCCACACUGGAACGGAGACACGGUCCAGACUCCUACGGGAGGCAGCAGUGGGGAAUAUUGGACAAUGGGCGCAAGCCUGAUCCAGACAUGCCGCGUGGGUGAAGAAGGCCUUCGGGUUGUAAAGCCAUUUUGUUGGGAAAGAAAAGCAGCAGGUUAAUACCCCGCGGUUCUGACGGUACCCAAAGAAUAAGCACCGGCUAACUUCGUG
rnacentral:rRNA from 1 species